GAAGCAGCCCCGCGAGGGUGAGCAAACCACAGAAACGGCGUCCCAGUUCGGAUUGCAGCCUGCAACUCGGCUGCAUGAAGCUGGAAUCGCUAGUAAUCGCGGAUCAGAAUGCCGCGGUGAAUACGUUCCCGGGCCUUGUACACACCGCCCGUCAAGCCAUGGGAGCUGGGGGUGCCUGAAGUUCGUGACCGCAAGGAUCGACCUAGGGCAAAACCGGUGACUGGGGCUAAGUCGUAACAAGGUAUC
rnacentral:rRNA from 1 species